UCGUGGCUACAAAAAUCAAUCUCAG
rnacentral:piRNA from 1 species